rnacentral:rRNA from 1 species
AUGUCUGCUGCAUCGGGCUAUGUCGCUGUCCCUCGCUGUCCGGUGAUCUUCGACGGUACUAACUACACCGAGUUCGCUGGCUUCAUGCGCAUUCACAUGCGUGGCAUCCGUCUCUGGGGUGUUCUUUCUGGCGAGGUCUGCUGUCCGCCACGUCCGGUUCCUCCGGUGGCUCCUACUCCGCCGACUCCACUGGUUCUUCCUCCGGAUGCUAAUCAGGCCGCCAAGGAUGCGGCUAAGGUUGCUGAUGAGGCUGCUGAUCGUGCCUAUGAUGAGAGGGCUCUGGCUUAUGAGGAGGCUCUUCAGACGUAUCAUGGUGCUUUGUCUGUUUACACCCAGUGGCUUGAUGAUGAUGCUCGUGCUGCCGCUGUUCUCACUGCUAGUGUUCUGCCUCAGUUUGCUUCUGAGUUUCUGGGUCUUCCUACCGUCUUCCAGAUGUGGACCUGUCUUCGUCAGCGCUAUGAGCCCUCUGGUGAUGCCUUAUACCUGUCUGUGGUUCGUCAGGAGCAUGCUCUUCAGCAGGGUGACUCUACUGUUGAUGACUUUUAUGCACAGAGUUCUGCUAUCUGGCGCCAGCUUGAUUCUCUCCGCAGUGCUGGUUGUCGUACUUGCCCCUGCUGCCAGGCUGUCCAGGCCGAUUUGGAGUUUCAUCGCGUCUACGAGUUCCUGUCUCGGCUCCGUAAGGAGUUUGAGCCCCGGCGUGCUCAGUUGCUUGCUCGUGGUCGUAUUUCUCUCAUGGAGGCGCUUUCGGAGAUUCGUGCUGAGGAGACUCGCCUACGCGGUGCUGGUUUGCUGGAGGUUCCCUCGGUGCUCGCUACUCGGGCUUCUUCCACUCCACCUGCUGCACCGCCCCAUUCCCGCUCGAGUGCUCCGCCGCUCUUGCCCACUCCUUCUGGCGGCUCAGGUCGGCCCCGUUCACAUUGUGAUUACUGCAACAAUGAUGGUCAUAUUGAGUCCCAGUGCUACACAAAGCGGAAACACCUGCGCAAGGCGCGAUCAUCCUCCUCAGGGACUUCGUCAUCUCCCUCGCCAGCUUCAGGCAUUGCUUUGACCGAGCAGGAUAUUCUGAGACUUAAGCGUCUGCUCGCGGCUUCAGGUUCUUCCUCGACGGGUACUGCUGGUUCUGUGACUGAUGCUUCCCGCACUGAGCACCCGCCCUCUACACAGUCAGGUACAUCUCCAUGGGUUCUGGAUUCUGGAGCUUCUUUUCAUAUGUCUUCUCAUUCUUCUGCUUUGUCUUCUCUUCGCUCGCUGGAUUCUCCUGUUCAUGUCUUCACUGCUGAUGGUACUCCACUUUCUGUUGCUAGUAGAGGCCAUCUUUCUACUCCUUAUUCUGUUCCUGAUGUUGCUCAUGUUCCUUGA